AUUUUAACUCCUCAAAGUCCAAAGUGACUUCUCAGUAAUGACCCACACCAUGAGCUCACAUCUAUCUUCCUGAGGCCUGCCCAGACCUGCUGAAGUAGAGAGAAGAAAGCAAGGCCCCUGCUCUUGAGAAGCAGGUAUGGGCUAUGGAUGCAGGACAGAACUAUGCCCCAGGCUCAGAAAAUGGGGAAGAGAGUCCUGUGUGCUGAGGGCUCCCAUGGACUCCUGGAGCGGGAUGAGGAAGGAAUAGGGGGAGGAUGGGGAUACCAUACAAUCCUCCUGAGGGCUGAGGAUUCCCCCAGUCAAGAACUGAGGCUGGAGACUGCUGUUUAAACAUGGCAGGUUGAACACACUUAUUUCUCUCCGUUGUUCUCUGAAAUUCCAAGAAAAAGACACAGGGAUUUUUUUUUAAAAGCACAUCUAUCUACUGGGACAAAGAAAAUGUAUGAGGAAGAAAAUAGCAGAUGAGAAGAAUCAACCAAAUUCCAGAAGCUGGAAGGCAGAUGGGAAUGAUGCAGCAAGAAGGCCCUUGAAUGAUGCCAGCACCUUGAUAUUGGACUUCCCAGCCUCCAGAACCAUGAGCCAAUACAUUUCUGUUCCAUAAAAAUUACCCAGUUUCAGGUAUUCUGCUAUAGCAGCACAAAAUGGACUAAAACAAUGUUGGCACAAGACUCACUGCUGGCCCUGGCAUACAACAAGUCCUUGGAGUGGCGUGCUGUGUGGAUAAUGAAUGUUGGGGAAGGCGUCUCUCUCCAGCCCCUCUCAAGCUUUCUGUAGUCACUGGUCCACUCUGUAUUGCUAUGAAGAAGCUCAAGACCAGCCUGUAUCACUAGGGGUACUGGCAGGAACCAGGUGCCACACUCAAACUGAGUAAUUGAAGAGGGUUUAAUAUGGGAGUUAUUUACAAAGGUGUGGGCUGGUGUAGCUGCCCAUAUGCCCCCGAAAUCACCUCUACAUGGCAAUAGCUACUUACUGCUAACACAGUCUCUCUCUCAUUGCUGCAAAUAUUUUCUAGCCAUGCAAGAAACUCAGCCAGUUAUGUUGAACAAACUAAGAGUGCCAGGAAGUUAAUGUCCUGGAAGCAUUGCCAGAGGGGAGGGGGCAGAUAGAUUCCCCAGCUUCCUCGCUCCUCAGCUGGGUUAAGCCUGCGACAUAUUCAUUAUCUCCCAGAGUGCUGCCCAGGGAUAGGGCGCCAGGUGCUCAGUGAGGUGACCUGCUCAUGUCAGCUUCUUCCCCUUUCCUGUCUUGUUUCUGCACCCACAUCCCUCCCAUGUUUCCUCUUCCCAAAUAAACUACUUGCAUUCAAA